rnacentral:piRNA from 1 species
UAGGAAUGAUCCUUCUCUUUCCUUCUUGC